CUCUUCGGGGAUGAUUAAACCGGCGCACGGGUGAGUAACACGUGAGUGACCUGCCUUUUAGACUGGAACAACUUACCGAAAGGUGAGCUAAUGCCGGAUGAGUUAUAUAAGUGCAUGUUUAUAUAGGAAAAGUUGGGGAGACCUGACGCUGAAAGAUGGACUCGCGUCCCAUUAGCUAGUUGGUAGGGUAAUGGCCUACCAAGGCGACGAUGGGUAGCCGGCCUGAGAGGGUGGCCGGCCACACUGGGACUGAGACACGGCCCAGACUCCUACGGGAGGCAGCAGUGGGGAAUUUUGCGCAAUGCUCGUAAGAGUGACGCAGCGACGCCGCGUGAAUGACGAAGGCCUUCGGGUCGUAAAGUUCUUUCGACAGGGAAGAAAAUGCCUAUAAGUAACUGUGUAUGUAUUGACGGUACCUGUAUAAGCAGCCCCGGCUAACCCCGUGCCAGCAGCCGCGGUAAUACGGAGGGGGCGAGCGUUGUUCGGAGUGACUGGGCGUAAAGAGCACGUAGGCGGUGUUGUAAGUCAUUAGUCAAAGACUAGAGCUCAACUUUAGUAAGGCUAGUGAUACUAUAAUACUAGAGUAUCAGAGAGGAUUGCAGAAUUCCUGGUGUAGCGGUGAAAUGCGUAGAUAUCAGGAGGAAUACCGUUAGCGAAGGCGGCAAUCUGGCUGGAAACUGACGCUGAGGUGCGAAAGCGUGGGUAGCAAACAGGAUUAGAUACCCUGGUAGUCCACGCUGUAAACGAUGGAUGCUAGGUGUUGGGCUUUUAAGUUCAGUGCCGCA
rnacentral:rRNA from 1 species